rnacentral:rRNA from 1 species
AUUGAACGCUGGAAGCAGGCCUAACACAUGCAAGUCGAGCGGAUGAAGGGAGCUUGAAACAGGAAUCAACAGCGGACGGGUGACUACUGACUAAAAAUCUGCCUGGUAGUGGGGGAUAACGUCCGGAAACGGGCGCUAAUACCGCAUACGUCCUGAGGGAGAAAGUGGGGGAUCUUCGGACCUCACGCUAUCAGAUGAGCCUAGGUCGGAUUAGCUAGUUGGUGGGGUAAAGGCCUACCAAGGCGACGAUCCGUAACUGGUCUGAGAGGAUGAUCAGUCACACUGGAACUGAGACACGGUCCAGACUCCUACGGGAGGCAGCAGUGGGGAAUAUUGGACAAUGGUCGAAAGCCUGAUCCAGCCAUGCCGCGUGUGUGAAGAAGGUCUUCGGAUUGUAAAGCACUUUAAGUUGGGAGUAAGGGCAGUAAGUUAAUACCUUGCUGUUUUGACGUUACCAACAGAAUAAGCACCGGCUAACUUCGUG